CCCAGCUUGGUGUAGUGGUAGCACAUCUGUUACCUGGCUUGGAGGUACCGCACAUACGGGGUGCUCUCGGUCAGGGGCGGAAGACCCGAGUUCGAUUCCUGGAGCUGGGA